rnacentral:rRNA from 1 species
UACGUAGGGUGCGAGCGUUGUCCGGAAUUAUUGGGCGUAAAGGGCUCUUAGGCGGUUUGUCGCGUCGGGAGUGAAAACACCGGGCUUAACUCGGUGCUUGCUUUCGAUACGGGCAGACUAGAGGCAUGCAGGGGAGAACGGAAUUCCUGGUGUAGCGGUGAAAUGCGCAGAUAUCAGGAGGAACACCGGUGGCGAAGGCGGUUCUCUGGGCAUGUCCUGACGCUGAGGAGCGAAAGUGUGGGGAGCGAACAGG